GCACUCAUUAUUGCUUUAUCAUGCUUCACACAGCAGGUGCAAAAUUCAAUCUCGGGUACAGACCUUGGCUGGGAGUUGCACUUGCUGUGUGAUGCACGCAAAGGCCAUGGUGUGC